UUAACAGAAACCAAAAAUAGCGGUAUUUUAUUGUUAAUAAAUCCAUUGAAUUGUAAUAAAAUAAUUCCUGUUAAU
rnacentral:tRNA from 1 species